rnacentral:miRNA from 1 species
UACAUAUUAUAAAACCCAGGUAUCGCUUCUUGGCCUUUUGGCUAAGAUCAAGUGUACAAAAUACGGGUUAGGACAGGC